rnacentral:rRNA from 1 species
GAAGCUGCGGCAGCGACACUGUGUGUUGUUGGGUAGGGGAGCGUUCUGUAAGCCUGUGAAGGUGGCCUGUGAGGGUUGCUGGAGGUAUCAGAAGUGCGAAUGCUGACAUAAGUAACGAUAAAGCGGGUGAAAAGCCCGCUCGCCGGAAGACCAAGGGUUCCUGUCCAACGUUAAUCGGGGCAGGGUGAGUCGACCCCUAAGGCGAGGCCGAAAGGCGUAGUCGAUGGGAAACGGGUUAAUAUUCCCGUACUUGGUGUUACUGCGAAGGGGGGACGGAGAAGGCUAUGUUGGCCGGGCGACGGUUGUCCCGGUUUAAGCGUGUAGGUGUGUGUUCCAGGUAAAUCCGGUUCACUUUAACACUGAGGCGUGACGACGAGGCACUACGGUGCUGAAGCAACAAAUGCCCUGCUUCCAGGAAAAGCCUCUAAGCAUCAGGUAACAUCAAAUCGUACCCCAAACCGACACAGGUGGUCAGGUAGAGAAUACCAAGGCGCUUGAGAGAACUCGGGUGAAGGAACUAGGCAAAAUGGUGCCGUAACUUCGGGAGAAGGCACGCUGACACGUAGGUGAAGUGAUUUACUCACGGAGCUGAAGUCAGUCGAAGAUACCAGCUGGCUGCAACUGUUUAUUAAAAACACAGCACUGUGCAAACACGAAAGUGGACGUAUACGGUGUGACGCCUGCCCGGUGCCGGAAGGUUAAUUGAUGGGGUCAGCGCAAGCGAAGCUCCUGAUCGAAGCCCCGGUAAACGGCGGCCGUAACUAUAACGGUCCUAAGGUAGCGAAAUUCCUUGUCGGGUAAGUUCCGACCUGCACGAAUGGCGUAAUGAUGGCCAGGCUGUCUCCACCCGAGACUCAGUGAAAUUGAACUCGCUGUGAAGAUGCAGUGUACCCGCGGCAAGACGGAAAGACCCCGUGAACCUUUACUAUAGCUUGACACUGAACAUUGAGCCUUGAUGUGUAGGAUAGGUGGGAGGCUUUGAAGCGUGGACGCCAGUCUGCGUGGAGCCGACCUUGAAAUACCACCCUUUAAUGUUUGAUGUUCUAACGUGGACCCGUGAUCCGGGUUGCGGACAGUGUCUGGUGGGUAGUUUGACUGGGGCGGUCUCCUCCUAAAGAGUAACGGAGGAGCACGAAGGUUGGCUAAUCCUGGUCGGACAUCAGGAGGUUAGUGCAAUGGCAUAAGCCAGCUUGACUGCGAGCGUGACGGCGCGAGCAGGUGCGAAAGCAGGUCAUAGUGAUCCGGUGGUUCUGAAUGGAAGGGCCAUCGCUCAACGGAUAAAAGGUACUCCGGGGAUAACAGGCUGAUACCGCCCAAGAGUUCAUAUCGACGGCGGUGUUUGGCACCUCGAUGUCGGCUCAUCACAUCCUGGGGCUGAAGUAGGUCCCAAGGGUAUGGCUGUUCGCCAUUUAAAGUGGUACGCGAGCUGGGUUUAGAACGUCGUGAGACAGUUCGGUCCCUAUCUGCCGUGGGCGCUGGAGAACUGAGGGGGGCUGCUCCUAGUACGAGAGGACCGGAGUGGACGCAUCACUGGUGUUCGGGUUGUCAUGCCAAUGGCACUGCCCGGUAGCUAAAUGCGGAAGAGAUAAGUGCUGAAAGCAUCUAAGCACGAAACUUGCCCCGAG